CCCUAUGUUCUAUUUUUAGCCAUAGCGGCCAUCUUGGUUGGUUGGCCGGGUCACCGGACACAUUUUUUUAACUAGAUACCCCAAUGAUGAUUAUGGCCAAGUUUGGUUAAAUUUGGCACAGUAGUUUCAGAGGAGAAGAUUUUUCUAAAAGAUUACUAAGAUUUACGAAAAAUGGUUAAAAAAUGACUAUAAAGGGCAAUAACUCCUAAAGUGGUCAACUGACCAUUUCGAUCAUUUGACUUAUUUGUAGAUCUUAUAUUGCUGAACAUUAUUGCUGUUUACAGUUAAUCUCUAUCUAUAAUAAUAUUCAAGAUAAUAACCAAAAACAGCAAAAUUUCCUUACAAUUACUAAUUCAGGGGCAGCAACCCAACAACGGGUU
rnacentral:lncRNA from 1 species